rnacentral:rRNA from 1 species
UACGGGGGGGGCAAGCGUUGUUCGGAAUUACUGGGCGUAAAGGGCUCGUAGGCGGCCAACUAAGUCCGACGUGAAAUCCCCAGGCUUAACCUGGGAACUGCGUCGGAUACUGGAUGGCUUGAAUUCGGGAGAGGGAUGCAGAAUUCCAGGUGUAGCGGUGAAAUGCGUAGAUAUGCGGAGGAACACCGAUGGCGAAGGCAAUCCCCUGGGCCGAUACUGACGCUGAGGAGCGAAAGCGUGGGGAGCGAACAGG